UCGUUUGAGAUGGUAUGGCCGUGUUCAAUAGAGGACAUCAGAUGCACCAGUAAGGUGAAGUGAUCUGAUCCAAAUAGAAGGAUGUUCAACCUGCCAAUGAUUACAAAAUUUAGAUGGUCGAUGAUGAAUGAGCCACCAACGUGGGAACAUAGAAAAUCAAUUUAAUGCAGUGUGUGCAUGGUAAACGAUGAUACUACACAUGAUGCAGUAACACUUGUGUUGGCUUGAACCAGAUUGGAGGCCCAGUUAUAGAACUGGGUCCAAGUUUGGGUUUUGGGACCAGUAGAACAUUUAGGCUUUAAUUUGGGAAUAAUAGUGUAAUCUUUUUAUUUUGGGGGAGAUAGCUAUGUAGUUGUUUCAAGCUUUCCUAUAUUUUGUUUUAAUUCCUAGAUUGAAUUAGUUUCCAUUUUUGAUGAAGUCUUUCUUAUUAAUAUAGAUAUAAUAAACACAAUUUGUAGUUGAUUGAAUAUGGAAUAUUGAGUGUCGUUGAGUGUGCCUGUGUUUCUGUGCCUCCCCUCUUAUCUCUUCCCUGCGUUUCAGAACUUCCUAUCGCCAGGUUGUUCUUCAUCCCAACUUCUUUCCUUGUUUCUCCUUCGUCUUUGCUUUUAAUAUUUUUUUAGUAUUGCUACCCUGUCCUGGCAUGACCUUGGGUCCAGCAAAGAGUGCAUCAAUCUCUCUCGAUUCUUCACUAAUGAGAUUCAAAACCCUGGGGUUUGAAUCAUACCCUCAAGGUGGUCCUACAUGGAAUUACCUGCUGGAUAUCAAACUAGAAUCAAGAUUUAUACACUGAAACUCUCGCCUGGAAUAGUUUCAGGAGUAUCUUUUAUUUAUUUAUACUUUCAGAUAUCUGAUUGAUCUGCCUGUUAGUUGAGUUUGAGAAAGUUUUGUGUUACCUACCUAACUCCAAAGUUCCCAAUUGAUUGGGUUGCAGUGCUUGAGUUCCAUUGAUCACACUUGAGAAGGGUUGCCGCUGGUUCUUUCUCUACCAUUUAACCCCACUCGCAGAAACUUUUUUCUGCUCUCAUCUCCAACCUCUGGUCCUCUUAUUGGCUGAAAUCAAUGGAUCUUAGGGUUAGCUAUCAAUCCUUAAACCUUCAACUUGUUUGGAGUUGUGUGUGAAGAGGAGUAUUCAUCGCAAGCUGAUGCAGUUCAAGGAAGCAGACUACUGUUCACGUGUUACUGUUCACAUGAUACUAUUCAUGUGGUACUGGUCACAUGAACAGUGAUACUGUUCAUAAAUGGCCAUCAUUGUAUGCUUCAGUUUUAGGAAUAUGGACAGCUGGCAUUCUUAAGAGAUGCUGCCAAAAUUCUCUAGGAUAUUAUAUCUUAGUUUCUAUUUUCAGUGGUUACUAUUUUCUUGUAUUGCUAUUGAAUAAUUAGCUAGAGUUUCUAUUUUGAUGUUAGUUACUAUUUUUUAGUUAGCUUGGCAGCAAAGUAUUGUCCCCUCGUUAUUGGGAAUUGUUAAUUUUGUAAUGAUGAUUUGAAGAUUAUAAAUAAAGAGGAUGGACUCCUUCUGCCCACUAUUUUGGUUGAGGCAAAUGCUUUUUGAGUAUGGUGAGCUGUGGUGAAUCAGCCACGUCCAUUGGUGGUGAAACCAUGGGGGGAGGGUAGUGAUGCCCAACCACAAGCGUAGGUGGUGAUACCUACGGUCAUAUCCCUUUUCUCUUUUUCCAUUAAAGCAUCUGUCGAUCUUUGAUGGGACCCUUGGAGGUGAUCUCAUAUUCUGCCAGUGGUUUAAACUUGCUUUUAUUCUGUUAUUACUGUGGUCACAAUCCCCUUUGUUAACCCUUUCUAAUCUGUCAGAUUUACUCUUAGUUUUAGCACCCUACGAUUUCUAGCGAAGGCCAUAUUCUGUCUCAGAUUUCAGUCCUGUUUUCUAGAUAUCCAACCGUCAGAUGAGCCUCCUGUUUUGAGGGCUUAUUAUUCCAUAUAGCACUUUCCUUCAACCUAACUUUGAGUCCCAUCAAUUUUUGGAUAUGGAGUUAUUCAUCUAUGUUCUGUCUCUUACUUUCUAAUUCUGUUCUAAUGAGUUUUCUGCAGAUCAGUCCGUUGAAUCAGCCCCAUCUGUGGAGCAUAUAACCAGGAGGAUUCUCACUCCAUUUUACCUGGUUUCAAGCCACACCUGAGUGCCGGUUAUCAAGUUAUUAGAAUUUGUAUAUUAUGUUCUGUUUACGCUACUGUUCUGGUCACUGUGAUUCUGUCCUGUGGUUUUGUUGUCGAUUAAUCUGUCCUACAGGUUAGCGUACUCCAUCACAAGCCUGCCUCCACUGCUGGUUCAGAAUUGGGAGAUGAAGGGCAAAGGGACUAUUUCAUCUUGCAGUCCAUGGUUGAGAUGUUAUCAAAGCCCAAUGAGAUCAUCAUCAGUCUGAGGAUGAUUCCCUUGUCCAAUUCUCCAUUUUACAAUAUUGUGAUGGUGCUUAUUGUGAGGUGUUUGAUUCUUCCAAGUGCAUUAUCAAAGCUGGUCACCAAUGGUUAGAAGCACGAAAGUGUGUAGUUGAUCGUGAUAGCAACAUGUGCUUCCUAAAGCCUAUACAUCUACAUCAUACAUUUAUUUUAAAAGGGCUGGUUGAUCAAGUAUGCUCGGAGCCCUAGGAUGUGGCACCAACAAUGCAACCAUAGGAAGAGCCGGAGGGCUCAACCCAAGAGGAAGACUGCUUUGAUGUGGGACAAUAAUUAAUGGUAAAGGGAGACAAGAUGGUUAUUGUGGGUGAGGCGAUUACAAACUUUACUGCAACAACAGGUGUUCAUAUUGAGUUUGUUAUUACCCACAUAUUUUAAGUCGGAUGCAACAUCGAAGCUCCAUAUUUUGGAUUCAGUUCAAGUUGCAAGCAAGGAGUAGCAAGCUCCCGUUAGAGUGUUUUUAUUUCUGCCAUUCCACCAAACUUGAGGAACAAUUUUUCUCAACACUGGGGGAAUUUAUGCAGUGAUGCUUGCGUGGGCCAGCUCAAAACCUAUUGGAGGCCAAACAAAGAACUGGGUCGAAGUUGGGUUUUGGGUCCAGUAGAAUAUGUAGGCUUUAAUUUAGGAAUUAUAUUGUAAUAUUUCUAUCUUUUGGAAGAAAGCUAUGUAGUUGUUUUUGGUUUCCUAUUUUAUUACUACCUAGAUUGAGUUAGUUUCCAUUUUUUGUUGAAGUCUUUCUUCUUUAUAUAGAUGUAACCAAUGCAAUUAAUAGUUGAUUGAAUAUGGAAUA